AGCAAGCUGGCGCAUAGGAAGCGCGUCGGGCUCAUAACCCGAAGGUACCUGGAUCGAAACCAGGGUUUGCUA
rfam:Penicillium brasilianum genome assembly, contig: SCAF1